rnacentral:lncRNA from 1 species
UCACUCCUUUUAGCCGGCAUUAUAUCCCUAAACAGAGUGCGAGUUGAGAUUCCAUUAGAAAAGGUGAACCAGGAUAAACUGGUGAAGUUUAUGAUCCGGAUUGGUCUGUAUCUCAUACCACUCAUGGUUGUAAUUGGUUGCUACUUUUAUGAGCAAGCUUACUGUGGCAUCUGGGAAAUAACGUGGAUACAAGAACGCUGCAGAGAAUAUCACAUUCCAUGUCCAUAUCAGGUAAGGGAAACC